UACGAAGGGGGCUAGCGUUGUUCGGAAUUAUUGGGCGUAAAGAGCUCGUAGGCGGCUUGGCAAGUCGGGUGUGAAAACUCCAGGCUCAACCUGGAGACGCCACCCGAUACUGCCAUGGCUAGAGUCCGGUAGGGGACCACGGAAUUCCUGGUGUAGCGGUGAAAUGCGCAGAUAUCAGGAGGAACACCGGUGGCGAAGGCGGUGGUCUGGGCCGGAACUGACGCUGAGGAGCGAAAGCGUGGGGAGCGAACAGG
rnacentral:rRNA from 1 species